rnacentral:rRNA from 1 species
UACGUAGGGGGCAAGCGUUGUCCGGAAUCAUUGGGCGUAAAGAGCGUGUAGGCGGUUCGGUAAGUCGGAUGUGAAAGCCCCGGGCUCAACCUGGGAACUGCAUUUGGGACUGCAAGGCUGGAGUACGGCAGGAGGGAGUGGAAUCCACGUGUAGCAGUGAAAUGCGUAGAGAUGUGGAGGAACACCGAUGGCGAAGGCAGCCUCCUGGGCUAGUACUGACGCUCAUGCACGAAAGCGUGGGGAGCAAACAGG